AGCAGCCGCGGUAAUUCCAGCUCCAAUAGCGUAUAUUAAAGUUGUUGCAGUUAAAAAGCUCGUAGUUGAAUUUCGGGGUUAGUAGGUUGGUCAUGCCUCUGGUAUGUACUGGUCUCACUGAUUCCUCCUUCCUGAUGAGCCGUAAUGCCAUUAAUUUGGUGUUGCGGGGAAUUUGGACUGUUACUUUGAAAAAUUAGAGUGUUUAAAGCAAGCUAACGCUUGAAUACAUUAGCAUGGAAUAAUGAAAUAGGACGUUCGAUCCUAUUUUGUUGGUUUCUAGGAUUGACGUAAUGAUUAAUAGGGAUAGUUGGGGGCAUUAGUAUUCAAUUGUCAGAGGUGAAAUUCUUGGAUUUAUUGAAGACUAACUACUGCGAAAGCAUUUGCCAAGGAUGUUUUCAUUAAUCAAGAACGAAAGUUAGGGGAUCGAAGACGAUCAGAUACCGUCGUAGUCUUAACCAUAAACUAUGCCGACUAGGGAUCGGAUGAUGUUAAUUUUAA
rnacentral:misc_RNA from 1 species